rnacentral:tRNA from 1 species
GCGCUGGUAGUGUAGUGGGAUCACGCGGCCGUUCCACGGCCGUGACCCAGGUUCGACUCCUGGCCAGCGCA